CCUACGGGUGGCAGCAGUGAGGAAUAUUGGUCAAUGGGCGUACGCCUGAACCAGCCAAGUCGCGUGAGGGAAGACUGCCCUAUGGGUUGUAAACCUCUUUUGUCAGGGAGCAACGCCGGCUACGUGUAGCCGGACUGAGAGUACCUGAAGAAAAAGCAUCGGCUAACUCCGUGCCAGCAGCCGCGGUAAUACGGAGGAUGCGAGCGUUAUCCGGAUUUAUUGGGUUUAAAGGGUGCGUAGGCGGAAUGCCAAGUCAGCGGUAAAAUCGCGGGGCUCAACCUCGCUCCGCCGUUGAAACUGGCAGUCUUGAGUACAGUAGAGGUGGGCGGAAUUCGUGGUGUAGCGGUGAAAUGCUUAGAUAUCACGCAGAACUCCGAUUGCGAAGGCAGCAUACCGGCGCUCAACUGACGCUCAUGCACGAAAGUGUGGGUAUCGAACAGGAUUAGAUACCCGAGUAGUC
rnacentral:rRNA from 1 species